GACGAACCGUGCGAACGUUGUUCGGAAUCACUGGGCUUAAAGGGCGCGUAGGCGGGCGGCCGCGUCCGGGGUGAAAUCCCGCCGCUCAACGGCGGAACGGCCUCGGAUACGGGCGGCCUCGAGGGGGGUAGGGGCGUGCGGAACUCUGGGUGGAGCGGUGAAAUGCGUUGAUAUCCAGAGGAACUCCGGUGGCGAAGGCGGCACGCUGGACCCCCUCUGACGCUGAGGCGCGAAAGCCAGGGGAGCGAACGGG
rnacentral:rRNA from 1 species